rnacentral:rRNA from 1 species
UCGAACGAGAAGUACGUAGCAAUACGUAUUGUAAAGUGGCGCACGGGUGAGUAACACGUUGGGUAAUCUGCCCUUGAGUUUGGGAUAACCCCGCGAAAGCGGGGCUAAUACCGAAUAAGACCACGGGGACCAAAGUCCCUGAGGUAAAAGGUGGCCUCUAUUUAUAAGCUACCACUUGAGGAUGAGCCCGCGGCCCAUUAGCUAGUUGGCAGGGUAACGGCCUACCAAGGCAAUGAUGGGUAGCUGGUCUGAGAGGACGAUCAGCCACACUGGAACUGAGACACGGUCCAGACUCCUACGGGAGGCAGCAGUGGGGAAUAUUGCGCAAUGGGCGAAAGCCUGACGCAGCAACGCCGCGUGGGGGAUGAAGGUUCUCGGAUUGUAAACCCCUUUCGAUCGGAACGAAUCCCCUCCUGGUAAAUAAUCAGGAGGAUCGACGGUACCGAGAGAAGAAGCCACGGCUAACUCUGUGCCAGCAGCCGCGGUAAGACAGAGGUGGCGAGCGUUGUUCGGAUUUAUUGGGCGUAAAGCGAACGCAGGUGGUUUGGUAAGUCAGGGGUGAGAGACCACAGCUUAACUGUGGCAUUGCCUUUGAUACUGCCUUUCUUGAGUAGAGUAGGGGGAAGCGGAAUUCCGAGUGUAGAGGUGAAAUUCGUAGAUAUUC